rnacentral:rRNA from 1 species
CGCUGAACUUAAGCAUAUCAAUAAGCGGAGGAAAAGAAACCAACAGGGAUUGCCUCAGUAACGGCGAGUGAAGCGGCAACAGCUCAAAUUUGAAAUCUGGUUCCUUUCAGGGCCCGAGUUGUAAUUUGUAGAGGAUGUCUUCGGGUCUGGCCCCGGCCUAAGUUCCUUGGAACAGGACGUCACAGAGGGUGAGAAUCCCGUAUGUGGCUGGAGGUCUAUUCCCAUGUGAAGCUCCUUCGACGAGUCGAGUUGUUUGGGAAUGCAGCUCAAAAUGGGUGGUAAGUUUCAUCUAAAGCUAAAUACCGGCGGGAGACCGAUAGCGCACAAGUAGAGUGAUCGAAAGAUGAAAAGCACUUUGGAAAGAGAGUUAAAAAGUACGUGAAAUUGUUGAAAGGGAAGCGCUUGCGACCAGACUUGCCCUCAGUUGAUCAACCGGGGAUAAACUCCGGUGCACUCUGCUGAGGUCAGGCCAGCAUCGGUUUAGGCGGUUGGAGAAAGGCCUUGGGAAUGUGGCUCCUUCCGGGGAGUGUUAUAGCCCAUGGUGCCAUGCGACCAGCCUGGACCGAGGACCGCGCUUCGUGCUAGGAUGCUGGCGUAAUGGUCGUAAGCGACCCGUCUUGAAACACGGACC